ensembl:lncRNA
CGAGGAUGUGAGGAGCAGACGCAGCCACAGCCGCCCGCAGCUCCCGCCACUUCUCCUCGCUCCCCAGCCGCCUCCCGGCCGGAUGUUUCCGGAGAACUUGGCCGAGGGGGGAGACGCGGAUGAGAGGAUGCCUCCUAGAGCACGGCCGGAACUGGUCGGCCAUCGCCCGCAUGGUGGGCUCCAAGACCGUGUCGCAGUGUAAGAACUUCUACUUCAACUACAAGAAGCGGCAGAACCUGGAUGACAUCCUGCAGCAGCACAAGCUGAAGAUGGUGAGCCCUGGCCUGGCCUGCUUCUCCCUGGUCUCUGCCCCGGGGCUGCCUCUGGUCUCGGUCUCCGUCCUCCUGGGCCCCCCACGCCUGCCUGCUGCCCUCCGCCAGCACCAGCAGCUCAGGUCCUAGUGGGCCCGGCUCUGACUCAGCCAGGAAUCCCGGCCGUCAGCGUCUUGGAAUGAAGACGCGGGCAGAGGAGCACGCAGCUCCCUGCCCCGCCUCACGGGAUGGGGCCUCGGCAGGAGGAAGGAUGGAUCUGGGGGGCAGCCAGCCUCGCCCCGCUUCCUGCACAGCUGCUUCUGGGGCUGGGGGCCAUCGGGGGAGGCCGUGCUGCUGCCUGUUUGUCUCCCGUCUUCCCUCCCCCUCCUCCUGCCCUGUCUCAUUGCCUUUGACGUACUUGAGCAUUUUCACGGUUUCAGAGCUGGGGAAACUGAGGCUCUGCCAGGCUCCUCCGUGGACCCCUAACUGCGCACACCAGACUCCCACCACCUGCAUCACCCCAUGUUGAGAGUGGUUCAGUGCUGACCCGCCUUCCAUGCGGCCCGCAGAGGCCCAGGGAGGGCGUACGCGUCACACAGCGUGUGGCGGCAGGCCAGGGAUAGCUCACCGGGCUCCACAUGGAGCUUAAGGGCACCUCCCAGCCUUGAGAGUGACUGGCUGCAGGUGCCCCAUCGCUUCUGGCUCCCUGGGCCCCUUUGCCUGCCUCACUUGACCCCGGGUGGCCUGGGAUUUGCCCAGUGGCCCUGGGCCGAGCCAGUCCUGGGUUUUCAGGGACUUGGGUGUGGCUGAGUGUGCAGAGCCCCUGUCCAGCACCUCUUGGGCUGGGGAGAGGGCAGGUCUCUGUGUCGCCAGGCUGGCGCCCUGGGGCUCUGCCGGCACAGGUAGUCCUGCCCGCCUGCCCGUCUUUACCCUCCCUGUCUCCCCAGAGUCCCUCAGCAGCCUUCUGCCCUGCUUGGCUUUCCAGAUUUCCUGGGCUCUGCCCGCUGCGUCCCCAGCAGUGGCAGUUGGGGCCAGGAACCAGGGCUUGGCCGGGUGGGGAGAGAGGUGGAAUUGAGCUUCAGCCUGCCGCUUCGAUGCCCAUGUGACUCUGGCAGUGGCUUUUGCCUGCCUCCCUCGGUUUCUGGAUCUGAGCAAAGAGCAGUAGCUUAGCCGUUCGAGGCCCCGUGACGGAGGGACUGGGGGGUGUGCGGGCUUGUUGCCUGCGCCUGCGCCUGGCCGCUGCACAGACCACCCCCCUCCCCGGAGUGUGGCAGGCCCCGCCGAGCUGUGGUGAGGAGUUGCCCGGGAGAGGCCCCCAGAGGGUCAUGUGCGUGAGGUCCUUAGAGCGGGCGGCUCAUCGCCAGCACCCUGCAGCCCGAGCCCCGGUGGUGCCCACUGCAGCCUGAGGUGGGUGGGCAUGUCAGGGCGGCAGGCGGGUGGGCAGAGGUGCACCCCCAUUGUCCUGCAGUCCCUGUUGGGUGCCUGUGGUGUCUGCAGGGGCAGGGCUGGGUGUGUGGAGGGCAGAGGCAUAGAGGGUCCUGCUGGGCAUUGCUGCCCUGGACCUUGGGAGCUGUGGCAGGCAUUAGAGUGCCAGGCUGGUCAGGAAGACGCCCCGUUCCCCCUGCUGAGCUCUCGGGUGGCCGUGUGGCCAGGAGGGAUGGAGACCAGGGUGCCACAAGCCUGUGCGGUCGGGUCUCGCUCCGCUGAGCACCACAUAGGCUGUGGGAGCAGGGGCCAGGCCCCCUAAGUCAGCUCCCACCGGGCCACUGGGCACCGGGGUGACCUGGCUUGCAGGCAGGUGCAGGAAAAGCCCCGAAUUCGGUGCCCCCGGGCAGGAGGGCAGGUCCCAGCAUCCUGAAGUCCUGGCGGCCCCUCCAGCGGUGCAGGGUCAGUGCUGUCCCCACCUGCCUUGCCCUGGGCCGCCCGGGCGUUGGAGUGAGCCCGGCUCGUGUUUGCUGGGCACCGGCCCUGGGCUGCCUCCCCUCCUGCGGCCAAAGGUUGCCCUCACAUCUGCGCCCCGGGCCCGGCUGGCUCGGCCCUGGUCUGCCUGUCUGUUGUCCUCCCAGCCUGUGCCGCGAGGCUGGAAGGCCGGAAUGCAAUGCGUGGGAAGCGCUCAGGAGGCCCGGGAGGGAGGGGCUUCCCUGGUUGGGGGUGGAGCUCGGGGAAGAUGCCCUGAGGGCAGAGGUGAGAGGCAGCCUUGCGAGCUCCCCAGAUGGUGCUGGGCAGGCAGGGCCGGCAUCUCGGAGAGGAGGUGGCCCACUUGCUGCCACUCAGGGCCGGAGGGAGGGGGACUUGGGGCUCUGUUCCCAGUGCUGGGGUGACCCCUCAUUUGCAGAGCAAGGUGCAAGGAGUGAAUACUUGGGAAUGUGCAGCACACAGUGGGUGCUUGUUCAUAAGCGGCAGCUGCACGGCGGCAGCUGCACCACCAGUGUCUCGCCUGGCCAGGCUCCCCUGAGGCCCUGUCCCCUAAACUAGAUCCGGAACGGGGAGCCCUCAGUGCACCCUCAACACCCACAGCCGCUGCCUUCUGCGCCAGCGGCUCCAGGGGCAGGGUUCCCGUGCUGGGCAGGUCCCAGGCAGGGACAGGACAGGGAGGCCCCGCCCCGUGGGCCUGGGUCCCCACCUGCAGGACCCCGGGACAGGGGGGCUGUGUUAGGUGUCUCGGAUUCCGGGCAGACACCCUGCCUGCAAAUGUCUGCCACCCCAAGGUCUCAACCAGUCACGGAUUUGGGGUUUACCAGGGCUGUUGGCACCCCUGGGCAUCUUGGGGCCCCUGACUCCUUCCUGGACCAGGCGGGGUGUGCACCAUGCUGGGGCUCAACUCCCUGCUGCAAACCCUGGUACCCUGCUGAGCCCAGCACACUCUGCCUCACCUGUCCACCUUCACGGCCUCUGCCUCUGAGCCUGGGAGGUGCUCAGUAAGCCACUUGACAAACGCUGCCCAGCCCGAGGCCUGAGGGAGGGUGCUAUUGUCCACAGUCUGUGUGGAAGGCUUUGCUCUGCAGUUCUCUGUCACUGACACCACAGGGCCUUUGCACGCUCAGUUCUAUGUCACCACCCCACGGAAGCCCUCUGACUGUUCUGUCCACCCAGAGUCCUCUCUCAGGGCUGGUCAGUCCUGGGGAGCUUGGUGAGGCGUGUGGGCUGACGGUGGCAUCAGGGCUGGGGCAGUCUCAGCCUCCGGGAUGUUGAGGGCCCAGGGUGUGUCCAGGACAUGGCAGAGAAUGAAGUCCUGGGUAAAAAUAGCCAUUUGUAUGUUUGGCCUCCGAGGCCUUGCUGAGGCGUGAGGAGUCCCCGGGCAGGCAGCCCAGACCCGGCAGUCACUCCUGCCGUCCUGUGCCCAGGAGAAGGAGAGGAACGCACGGAGGAAGAAGAAGAAAGCGCCAGCCACAGCCAGCGAGGAGGCCGCCUUCCCACCCGUGGUGGAGGACGAGGAGAUGGAGGCAUCGGGUGCCAGUGGGAAUGAGGAAGAGAUGGCUGAGGAGGUGGAAGGUGAGGGCAGGUGCAGGGGCAGCUACCGGGCUGCGAGAGGGUGGGAAGCGACCUCUUAGCUCUGUUCUCCAGUCCACCUGGGCCUCCCUCACCAAGGGAGAGCAUCACCUGUGUGAAUGAGGGGAGGGGCAGUGGCAGCCACGACGGGAGUCGAGAUCAGCCUCUCCAGAGGGCGUCACGCCUACACUGUCCUGAGCCCCCACACCAGUGACCAUAGGUCCAGGACAGCCUUGUUGACAACUGGUCUCUUGUGGCGCUGAGGUUGGAACCUAGACCUUCGCCCUGAGUGACACAUCCAGCCCUUUUUUUAUUUUGAGACAGGUUUUUCACUAAGUUGCCCAGGCUGGCUUGAACUUGAGAUCUCCCUGCCUCAGCCUCCUAGAGGGCUGAGAUGCCAGAUGUGUGCCACUGGAGCCUAAGAAUGCACUCGUUUUUUUUUUUUUGGUACUAGGGGAGCGAACUUGGGACCUUGCGUUUGCGAGGCAGGCGCCGGAACCACUGAGCUAAAUCCCCGGCUCUUUUUUUUUUGAGACAGGGUCUCAUUGUGCAGUUCAAGCUGCUCUUGAUCUCUGUGUAGCCCAGGUUGGCCUAGAACUUGCAUCGAUCCUCCUGCCUCAGCCUCCCAAGUGCUGGGAUCACAGGCGUGCACCACCACACCAAGUUAUAAAGUUUACCUUUGAAAAUAGUUUUGCCCAGGAUUAAUUUACAAGUUCACUGAUAGGAACAGAACAGCUAGUACGCACAUCACGUGAUGUGUGGUGCUCUCCCCUUGCCUACUGUCCCCAUGGACCAUGUGGGUACCGGAGGCCCAGGCAGGUCAGCGUCUCUGCUCAGGGCCGGGUCAGACCCAGUGUGGGCCCUGUCCCCGAGAGGCCCCCCUCAGGCGGCUAGAGAGAGAGAAAGGUGACAGCGCGGGAGGGAGGCCCGGCCACUCCGUGCCGCUGGUGGAAGGAGGAGCUGCCCGGGGGAGGAGAUUGUCACUCCUGCACCUCCUCACAGAGCCGGCUGCUGGGGGUGUCUGAACCCAGGCUCCGGCCCUGUGGCCACUCCGACCACCUUUGUCCCACCCUGUCCCCAAGGAGGCCGAGGUGUCCCUGCCUCUGCCUCCGCGUUGGCCCUCCGGCCCCUGCGUGUGGUGAAGGGGGAUACACUGGGCCUGGCCGUGCGGGCUGUGUGCUGUCCGCCUCCUGGUCCCCAUCUCUGGGGCACAUAGGUGGUGGGGCCCCCAGCUGGCAUCGUCAACUCAGGCCUGGGUUCUGGAGCCCAUUCCUCCUGCCAGGGGUUGCGCUGGCUGCGACUGGGCCGGGCGAAGGGGUCCCCACCGGGCCUUUCGUCUGGAAGGAAUGGGAGCCAAGGGCAG